rnacentral:rRNA from 1 species
UACGUAGGGUGCAAGCGUUGUCCGGAAUUAUUGGGCGUAAAGAGCUUGUAGGCGGUUUGUCGCGUCUGCUGUGAAAUUUCGGGGCUCAACCCCGAACUUGCAGUGGGUACGGGCAGACUAGAGUGUGGUAGGGGAGACUGGAAUUCCUGGUGUAGCGGUGAAAUGCGCAGAUAUCAGGAGGAACACCGAUGGCGAAGGCAGGUCUCUGGGCCAUAACUGACGCUGAGAAGCGAAAGCAUGGGGAGCGAACAGGAUUAGAACCGUACCGUCAG